ensembl:lncRNA
UUAUUAUUAAGUAAAUGACAAUACUUUUUUCUUUUCUUUUCUUUUUACCGCUGGAAGAGAUUUUAGCCACAUUUAAUCCUGGAAUACUAUAAACCAAUUAAAAGGCAGUAUGUGCCAAUAGUAAGUCAUUUAAAAAAGAGCAAAGCAGUUUCCUUUGAAAAAGCAACACUUCAGGCACCAAAUGCUUUAAUCAGCAGCUGUAAUGUCUGAGACAGUGGAGACAGAAGAGCAUCCCUGGCCCAAUUGAUCUUCAGUUUUAAAUACUUUAUAGGAAACACUGUGGUAAUAAUCUGCAAAUUAUGCCCAUGGAGACAUUUCACAGCUCAAUAUUCAACCUGUGAAAAUAUGUACUGGGAAGUCAUUAGCUAGCUUAAUGAGCUUGACUAGCUAGCCAGAACAUUUGAUGCUUUACAGCACGACAGCUCUGUGUUAAACUUAAGGUAUCACUUCAGUGUUCAAUGUUCAGGCUAAUGUUACGUGAGAUCCUUGUUACAUAGCUAACUGUAUAGCUGGAAACAUGUAUGAAUUAACAUGAGCUAGCUAGCCAGCUAACAUUACCUUUACCUACCAUGUUACCUACCAACAUGCUGUUGAUAAUUGGUGUUAACUUCAGCAUAAUUCAUUUGGUGAGUUAGCACAGAAGAUUUUGAGAUUAGUUGUGUCAGUUUUAGACAUAUAAAAAGUACCCUGUAAAUUUCUCAAGCAAUUUUUCACCAGAUGUUUUUCACCUUUUUACCCAUGUGACUUAUCACUACAGUAACAGUACUUUUUUAUCAUGCUUUUCACCACAGUAAAUAACAAUAUAUUGAUAUUUCUGAAUUUUAUAAUUAUUUUAGCAUGCACAGACUAGAAAAUCACUUCAGUUAUAUGACGAAUAUAACACAUUAUCUACUAUACUAUUAGUAAUCCUGUAGCCUCCUACCCUAUUACUUCACCUAAAGGCUCUUGCCAACUGACACAAUGACACAGGAUUUUUAGUGGGGAAGAGCAGAGGCCCAGCUCUGGUGGGACGGGUAUGAUUUCAUCAUUGUGUGGGACACUGAACUGGAGAUAUCAUCAACAAGCAUGGCUUUAUAAGCCUUCCUGUGGCUGCCACUGCAGACACAGGACAUGCAGAUAGCAAGUGGGAAGUGGACACACACAGGGUUUUUUUUUUUUUUCUGGUUGUUUGUCUGUGUUUGCUAGUGAUCCAGUGUUAUCAGGCCUUGUCAUCUGUUCUCACACCAUAACAUUUUCUUGGGAUGAAAAGUGCCUCUCUUUAGUAUCACUGUAAAUAUGAUAUACAUGAUACGUGUGUGUGUGUGUGUGUGUGUGUGUGUGUGUGUGUGUGUGUGUGUUCUGUUUUUACCCCAAGUUAAAACUAAGCCAUGAGAGCAGAUGGCUGGAGCUGAUAACACCAAACUGACGGGUUGUUAGUGCAAUGAGGGAAAAUGGUGAGAGAGCAGAGGAGAAAUUUGGAUAGGUAGUGGAAAAUCUUAAGAGAACUUAGAAUUAUACCUGAAUAUAUGUUGAAAUAACUUGGUGCUCAAAUGUUUGAGUUGCACCAGUUUCUAUGGGGCAAUAUGUGGUUCCAGGCCUGAAAUACGGCCACACGAUUUGGAAAGACAGUAUUUCAGCUCAGUCUCAGCACCUCAAAACCCAGCAUUACGAAACACCAAAUGACCAGUGACUUGCAUUUAUUAAAAGGCCAAUAAAUCUAAAGGGAACUUCAGUAUUUCCUGGUAAUUGUGAUUAAGUUAAAUGCGAUCAUAGAAACUACAAACCACUAGAACGGAAAAUUAUGAGUGAUUAACAGAUUGGUAAUCACUCAUAAUUUUCUGUUAACUGUUAAAAGAGGUGAACGUGCAUAGAGUUUAUAAGAUAGUUGUACACAUUUUCCUUAAGUGCAUACAUUACACAUGAUCAAGUGGUGUUGUUUUUUUAAAUCAUGUGAUUAUGUGAAUAAGAUGCGAUGGGGAAAAAAUUAUGUAAAAAUAAAUGAAUCCUGUGAAUUUGUAAUUUGUUAUUAUUUAUAUGUGAAGUUCAUGUGACUUUGCUGUAAGGGAAGCAUCUGUAACUACUAAGAAAAUCAAAAUACACUAUAUGGCCAAAAGUAUGUGCACACCUGACUUUCAUAUUCAUAUGUGCGUGAACAUUCCAUUCCAGAUUUAGUGCCCUUUCUUGCUAUAACCUCCACUCUUCUGGGAAGGCUUUCCACAAGAUUUUGAAGUGUGGCUGUGUGGAUUUGUGUUCAUUCAGCCACAAGAGCAUUAGUGAGGUCAGGAACUGAUAAUACAUGAGGAGGCCCUGGGGUGCAGUCAGCGUUUCAGUUCAUCCCAAAGGUGUUCAGUGGGGUUGAGGUCAGGGUUCUGGGCAGUCCAUUUGAGUUUUUCCACUCCAAUCUUGGCAAAUCAUGGACCUCACUUUGUGCACAGGGGUAUUGUCGUGCUGGAACAUGCUCAAGAAUCUUAGUUCCAGUGAAGGGAAAUUGUAAAGCUACAGCAUACAGAGACAUUUUAUACUAUUGUGUGCGUCCAAUUUUGUGGCACCAGUUUAGGGACAAACUGCAUAUGGGUAUGAUGGUCAGGUGUCCACAAACCUUUGGCCUUUGGACCUGGUUAGUACUUAGAUGGGAGACCACCUGGGAAUACCUGGUACUCUAAGCCAUUUCAACAACUGCAUGGUCCUGUAGGUUCACUCUGUACAAC